UACAGAGGGUGCAAGCGUUGUUCGGAAUUAUUGGGCGUAAAGCGCGUGUAGGCGGCUUUUGCAAGUCGGGUGUGAAAGCCCUCAGCUCAACUGAGGAAGUGCGCCCGAAACUGCAGAGCUUGAGUACCGGAGAGGAUGGCGGAAUUCCCCAAGUAGAGGUGAAAUUCGUAGAUAUGGGGAGGAACACCGGUGGCGAAGGCGGGCCAAUCUGGACGGAUACUGACGCUGAGACGGCGGAAAAGCGUGGGGAGCAAACAGGGG
rnacentral:rRNA from 1 species